GGGGCGCCCUGCGGGGAGAGGAGGGUGUCCCGGGUGCUCUGCUGCUCGCGAGCAAAAGGUUCUUGUUUUAACGGUGCUGCGCGGUGUUUGUUGCGGAAAUGUCUCUGUCCCCGUCCCCCCGUUACAAAGGGACGCUGCUCCCGUGUGCAACACGGGAGGGUUGCGAGUGUUGGGAAAGAUGGGUGCAAAUUCUUGGGGAGUUUGGGGAUUUUUAUUUCUAAUGUAGCCAGAAAAUAGGGUUUGGUGGAGGCUCCAAAGCUUUUGCUUUUGUCUGGAAUUUACAGUGUUGUUGUUUUGAAUAGUUUCAUAGCUGUAUGUUUUCUCUGAGCAUGUAUUACAGCCCAGUGAUGUGCCUUAACUAUGUGAAAUAUUUUAUCUUUUAAAUAGUUAAUUCUGUUUCAAAAUUGAGUUCCAGGCACAUGGAGUGAAGCUGGACUCCCGCGGCUCCAGCAUUAUGCCUGUUGCUUUUCUCUUUGGUUACUUUGCAGCAUGCGUGUGCUCUUCUAGUAAGUGCUGGAUAUGUGAAUUUUGCCCCCACUGAGUUCAGUAGCCUGAUUCAGUAAUGGAACAGCUGCUGACUGGCAGACACGGUGCCUUCCAAAAGACAAGCACCUACUAGUAAAAAACCAAGGGGCACACCUUUUACUGAAUAGGUAAAUGCAGAUAUUAUCAUCUUCACAUUACUGUUUAGUUAUUAAUUCCAUAUGUAAAAGUGUACAAAUGAUGUGGAGGAUGAGAGAAAAAGGCUGAGCCCCUGCAAAGCAUGCAAGAAAAAAUACGCAACACUCACUCCAGAACAUUAUAACAAAAUGAGCUAGUGUAUUUUAUUUUGGGUAACAGCCAAGAAAUCUGACAUUUUGUCCAAUAUGGCUUUCUUCUAAAAUUAAAAAGUUGCAUAUACCUCCCGUUGAGUCCACCAGCUACAGAAAUUCUGUUGUAUACAUCUUUAAUCCAUGGCAGCAUCACCAGAGUACAGCUUUCAGUGGCGUUUUCAAGCUGAAUUAGAAGAUAAAGUUUUAAAAUAAUAAGUUUUAAAAUGUUCAUUUAGAAGAUUUUAUAUUGUUUAUAUGAAAACAUACAAAUUUUUCAUUUAUACAUAUACUACAUAUAAAACUCCUUGUAAUUAGCAAGUAUCUUCAUCUGGGUAUUUACCUUUGUGCAUAUAGCGAAAAAAGGAUGUAGUUAGGGCUUCAGAUGAAAUAUUAAAGUUCAGACCUUUGUAUAUGCUAACUAAAAGCUUAUUCAAAUAACUUGAACGUUUUCCCCUGCUUUUAAAAGAUAAAGAGAUUCAGCUUAAAAAUACAUUCAUAAAACAAAGAGACAUUUUUCUCCCUGAGACUACCAGUGUGAGUUACUUUGUGGUAAUCUUUGAAUGAAAAAAUUAUGUAAAAAAAGACAGUAAGUUCUAGUUUUGUUCUAGUUCUAGUUUUGCCCAUUUCUUGAGCAAAGCUGGCAUCAUAAAAGGUGUAGACUGGAGAAUCAUGCUCACUAGCUGAAAAAAACAUUGCCAUAUAUCAGUUUCAGUAGAAGAAAAACUUUAAUAUAGACAAGGGAAGGUAAUUAAGUUUUAAUGAAAGAUCUGUGGUAUGUAUAAAUGGGAAAAAGUUGGGUGUGUGUGUGUUUGGUUUGGGGUUGUUUUCCCUUUCAUUUCAGACAUGAGUUUUAUCCAAAGCAGGACUACCUGCUACAGAUUCUCUACAAAGAAGAGACAGAUUCUCUAUCUGCAUGUAGAUUCUCAGUUUAUAGAGAUACUUAGUAUAGUAUUCUAAAUGUUUCAGGCAUUUGUUUUUGUUAAUAUUCAUAAAAGAAAUACGUAACUUGUAGGAACGGUUUCUGCUUAAAUUUAACGAUAACAUGUUUGAUUAUAACUAGAUGGCAAAGUUUCAUGAGCAGCAAAUGAGUCAACCUCCCCGCCCCAAUGAACAGCUCCUGCUUUGUGGCUGUCUUCAUCCUCUCCUCAAAAUCCCUCUGCUCUGAAAGCUACCCUGGUUUUACUUCACAUUCCUCCUUUUAAGUGUUAAAAAGAGAUAGUUUUUAAACUGCUACAAAGUAACAGAAUAGAAUUUGGAUGCAUUAAACAUAUCCUGCGGAAACUGGGGAAGAGAGUGAGAGAUACACUUUCCUUUAACAAUUUAAAUUGUAUUUAUAGUAACCAUGCAAUUAUGUUGUUUUUGCGGGGAAAAGCCCUACCUGAAAUGAAAGAAAACACAUUUAUAG